UACGGAGGGUGCGAGCGUUGUCCGGAAUCACUGGGCGUAAAGCGCGCGCAGGCGGUCUUCCAAGUCAGUGGUGAAAGCCCAGAGCUCAACUCUGGAAUGGCCUUUGAGACUAGAGGACUUGGGUACGGGAGAGGUGAGUGGAAUUCCGAGUGUAGAGGUGAAAUUCGUAGAUAUUCGGAAGAACACCAGUGGCGAAGGCGGCUCACUGGCCCGUUACCGACGCUCAGGCGCGACAGCGUGGGGAGCGAACAGG
rnacentral:rRNA from 1 species